GGCGAGGUGCCGGAGUGGCCGAACGGGGCGGUCUCGAAAAUCGCUGUGGGUCUUCACGGCCCACCGGGGGUUCGAAUCCCUCCCUCGCCG
rnacentral:tRNA from 1 species